ACACGCCCCUCUGGUCAGACGGGCACCCUGGGGCCCUUUGAGCAAGCGCUGCUGAGUGGGGGCAGGGCCCCUGUGGAACACAUCCCACCCCUGAGGGUUUGGGCAGGACUAUGGAGCACGUGGAAUGAAACUGUGAACUCUUGAAGGGUUUGGAGUAGUAGGCGGGGUAAGUUAAGGCAGCCGUUUCCAUUCCCGCCCGGAGGCCCGUGGUCAGGGGCCUGGCUUGGUCCUGUGGUCUGGUGGUUCCAGGUGAGGGAACACUCACUGGAAGUCACCCGUUGGGCUUCUCCAUGUCCCCAUGAUGUUCCAGCAACAAGAUUCUGUACAACCUGAACCAAGGAACCAAGCGUGAGAUUCUUCUUCUUCUCCUUCUCCUUCUUUUUUUUAAUGAGAAAUAUUAAACCAAAGAAGAACCAAAGCA